GGCUCGGUAGCUUAGUUGGUGAAGCGUUCGUCUAGCAUAUAACAGUUCUGGGUUCGAAUCUCGGUCGAGCAC
rnacentral:tRNA from 1 species